CGGGGGAACGUGUCCCGCACGCGGCCCCAGCGCCACCAGAACGCAUGCGCCUUCAAGAACGACAAGUACGACACCAGCGCCCGGUGCAAGCAUUACUACAGAAUUGCUCUUGAGGCUUGUUGAGGUGAAACAUCCUUGCAACAAAGUACACUGCCUCUCUGCUGUAUUUGGGAAACAGCUACAACAGUGCUGGAAAAGUGUGCAUCUUAGGAUGACCUGAAGAAGGAAUAGCCAGGACAGGAAAAUAAAUGCUAAGCUUCAUGAUGGAGUGUGUCAGCAUUGCAAAGGUAUCUUGGAGUGGCGAGUAAAAUUCAGAAAGUACAAGCUACUGACAAAACCUAAAAAAUGUGUGAAAUGCCUCCAGAAGACUGUAAAAGAUCCUUAUCAUAUUAUUUGUCGACCAUGUGCUGGUAAACUAGAAAUUUGUGCUAAGUGUGGGAAACAAGAAGAAAUAGUGAUUCCGAUUGAUAAAGGACAAGACAGAACUGACAAUGAGACUUCUAAAGAUGGCCAAGAGAGCACUAAAUUGAAGGAUGAGCUGGAUUUUGAUACAAAUUUCAGUAGUGCAGACAGUGAUGAAGAUUCUGAUGUGCUUGAAGAACAAUUUAAAAGUAUGAAUUUUGAAAAAACAGAGAGCUAAAAGGCUGUGUUUAUGCAAGAGUUUAUAUGCCAUCAAAUGUGGUAAACCAGUGCUUGUAUGAUGAUGCAUGUGGGGAUUUGUAUUAAUACACAUUUUUAUGUAUUAGGAACAGAAUUUCUUUGAAAAUAUUCAGAAAAUAUUCCAUUUUCUAUCUGUAAGCAUGAUUAUUUAUUUCAUACAUAUAACAACUUCCUAUUUUUAUGGAAUAAAGUCUCUUUGUGUAAUUGUUCGAAAUUCAGUAUUAUGUGACCGUCGGAAGUGUUAUUGCUACCUGGAAACCUGCCUGAAAGUCUAGACUAAACACAGAUAGGAAGAGCUAAAGCAGCUAUAGUGGUUUUCUGAAGGAAGAACUUGCAGCAUGCUGUCAAUGAGUUUCCAAAUGGGGUCUUACGCUAGGCCAAAGAUUUUGUUCAUUUUUUUUCCCCACAAAAAAGAAACAAGCGUAUAAAUGCCAUCACCAGUACAGUUCAUGAACAGUUAAAGCUUAUUUACCAUGUAUUAAGUGUGCAUUACAGAUUUCUGACCUUUUUGCUACCAAUAUUUUGUAAAGAAGAAACCUGCAGGCUUUAGAAUUUCUCAUCACACUUUCGUUUCAUUUUCAGAAUUCAGAGAUUCAUCUGGAUCUGAUGUCGUUUUCUCUGAUAUGAAAAGACUUGCAUAAUGGAGUGAUGCAUAUAAAGUUACUCCCUUCCCAGUUUCUAUUCCAGUGUUGAUUAAGCGAUACACAGAACUUAACUGAAGUUGCAGUAACUGUCUUUACAGGAUUUAGGAUGGUUUGAUUUCUUUUGUCUUCCUACUCUUUACAUUUAACUAACAGUAUAUAUAUAAAUUAACCUAUGACAAUAUGCUAUGCCACAUCUGCUUUGCUGCUUUGCCUGAUUUGCUGUAGUGAGCAUGGAAAAAUUUGAUUCUCAAACUACAUUUUUCAAAUGCUCUGUGAGGAAGUUCAGCUCUGAGGUUGUUGCCCAUCCCUGCCUUGGAAUGAAGGAAAUACUGAAACUUGAUUCUUUGGGUGCAGAUAAGCGCCUGAUGUCUGUCCUGUCAAGCUGGAAAACACCAAGAAGUGUUCAGUGGCAGAAAAGGAGUUGUCAGGUGUGUUCAGAAGUGUUGGAUCUGAAGGUUAUCUGGAGGUUUCACUGACAGAUAAGUCCUCCCAACAGCACAGCAAUGACAUCUGACUAACUUAGUGUCACAUCUCUUGUCCUGCCCAUUGACGUCAACAAUGGCAGAGUAAACAAGGAAUAUCCCAUGCACACACUGCAGAUGACCAGGUAGGAGGGUGCAUGGAAGGAAGUUAAUAAGUAAUCUGGAUUUAGCUUCAGAAAGUGUGUCUCUGAAGGGAGAACCAAAAGUGAAUUUGGCUUUUGAAAGUGCCAUACAUAUGGGAAAUGUUCAUCCAGUUGGAAAAAUUCAUAAUGGCCUUGUUCUUUGUUAAAGGUGAGAGGAAAUCCUGGAAUGAUAGGAAAGCAUGUGAUGGAACUGGCAGAAGCUGUAUAAUGAGAAAAUAAGGGGAAGAAUUCUUUUCUCAUAGUGGUGACAAAACCUGUCAGUACCAGGAGCGAGCAGAGUGACAGAGAUAAACAAUGUGUUGCAACACAGUGCAAAAAUGUUUGUACAAUGGGAAAGUCCUGUGAAGGCUUCAUGUCACAUUCCUGAUGCUCUGUUCAGAGCUGGUACUAUAGCUGAUGAAACUGUGCUGUGGGUGAGCACAGCUGCAGUGUUGGCUGGCUGGUGUUAGUCCAGCCUGUCUGCAGACAGUUUUGGUUCUGGCAAGCCUUCUGUCUUUGGUUGUAGCUGUGGCUGAAGGAUAUACUGCUGGAAAUAAUUUUUGCACACCACUUAACAUGGUGGUUGUCAUGGUGGUGAGUCAGCUUAUAAAAUGGCAGCUUUGCAAGGGAAAAGGAGUUUGCAUUUUACUGAAGAUUAGGAUAUAUUUGGAACUGCAUUAAACUAUUAUAACUCAUGCUAUAAGAGUUCUGGGUAUCAGGAGUUUGGUUUUGUCUCUUUUUGAGGAACUUAUUGAACAGAGAAUAAUGUGGGAGUGGGCCCCUUUAAAUACUGAUCUUCAGUAUAAUCAUAUAGAAAUGAGAAUAUUUUUUAAAAGGUGAUAAAAAGUCAUCAAAGAUUUUUUAUAUCUUUGGGGUAGUCAUCUAGAUGGAAUGAUUUUUAGUUUUUAAUUGAGAUUUUGAAACUUUUCCGCCUAUUCUUUCACAAAUAAUAAUGAAUUUGUUUCUAUAAACAUGAGAGGAAAUGAAAAAUACCACAGUGCCUGCAGGAUACUGAGAUGCAGUUUAAACAGUGUGAUUGGUCGGAGGUUCCAGGAUUUGUCUGGACCUUGCAGUGCCUCACCAAGUACAUUACUGAAGAAGAAAAUGAUAGAUGUUAAUUAGUCAUCUGAAGAAUACUUGAUGCAUCACUAGUGAUGCAGUGAUGUCGCUGACAGCUGAGUUCCUGUUACCAGGUUGCCCUUAGGAGGGUCAUUUGCCAUGACUCAACACUGAAGUAAUUCAUGAGGUUGUGGACUGCCGGUAUGUGUGAGGUAGGCAUGCCAGAUGAUUCUUACUCCACAAGGGGAAAUGCUCAUCAUAGCUGGAGCUGCCAGAAUUCAUCAUGCUUGACUUGCACACAUUUCUGGGAACCAAAUUCCUAUGUAUAAGGAUUUCUUGAGACAACCUGGAUUUAUUGCAGAAUGAUGAGAAUCUGAUGUGGACAGAGUGCUACAUUCUAGAAUAAUUCCUUAACAAUCUUCUUUGUCAAAGUUCACAGGCAUCUCUGAGACAUCCUAUCAUCAAAUGUUUUGCAGGAUCAGGUAAUGCAAAAAACAUUGCCCCAUGAUUUUACUUCCAGUUUUGCAUGGGCUGAGCUCUUCUAUUCUUGUCUUGGCUACUCGUUAAUCUGUAUUCCUCCAAAAUACUGUAAUAAUACCAGCCUCUGAAGGUUUAUAGAACUACCAGUUAAUUAAGAAAAGUACAGCUUGCUUUCUCCCUGUAAUGGGCAUGUACUUGGAUGUGGAGAUGUAAAUCACAGCAUUAGCAAGGAAAAUAGAAGAAAAUAUUGCAGGUCAUCAAAUGUGAGCCACCUUGUAAACCUCUAGCCCUAUAAUUAUGUAUGUUUUCUUUGUUUAGGAGUUCUCAUAAGUAAAUGUAUGCUGGUAGAAAAUGCAAAACUAAGUGAUUAUUGGAAGCAUCAGCCUGACUUACAGAGUUAAUGAGGAAAGCUUUGUAAGUGGCAGGGAGAGAUGCUUUUCUUUAUCAGAUGUUUAGGGAGCUGCUCACGCAAACUGCCACAUUAAUUUCUUGCCUACAUUUCAUCUGAAAACUAAUACAAUUCAAAACUCUUGGUGAAAAACAAUCCAUGAACUCUGUAUACAUACUCAUCACAUAGAGUGAGUUUGUAAAGUAGAUUCCUAAACCUUGAAA